rnacentral:rRNA from 1 species
GAUGAACGCUGGCGGCGUGCCUAAUACAUGCAAGUCGAGCGAACAGACGAGGAGCUUGCUCCUCUGUCGUUAGCGGCGGACGGGUGAGUAACACGUGGAUAACCUACCUAUAAGACUGGGAUAACUUCGGGAAACCGGAGCUAAUACCGGAUAAUAUAUUGAACCGCAUGGUUCAAUAGUGAAAGACGGUUUCGCUGUCACUUAUAGAUGGAUCCGCGCCGCAUUAGCUAGUUGGUAAGGUAACGGCUUACCAAGGCAACGAUGCGUAGCCGACCUGAGAGGGUGAUCGGCCACACUGGAACUGAGACACGGUCCAGACUCCUACGGGAGGCAGCAGUAGGGAAUCUUCCGCAAUGGGCGAAAGCCUGACGGAGCAACGCCGCGUGAGUGAUGAAGGUCUUCGGAUCGUAAAACUCUGUUAUUAGGGAAGAACAAAUGUGUAAGUAACUAUGCACGUCUUGACGGUACCUAAUCAGAAAGCCACGGCUAACUACGUG